rnacentral:rRNA from 1 species
UCGGGUUGAGUGGCGGACGGGUGAGUGACGCGCGAGAAUCUGCUUGGGGUCGGGGACACCACUGGAAACGGUGGCUAAUACCGGAUAAGCCUUUGGGUAAAAGAUUUAUUGCCCCAAGAGGAGCUCGCGUCUGAUUAGCUAGUUGGUGAGGUAAAAGCUCACCAAGGCAGCGAUCAGUAGCUGGUCUGAGAGGACGAUCAGCCACACUGGGACUGAGACACGGCCCAGACUCCUACGGGAGGCAGCAGUGGGGAAUUUUCCGCAAUGGGCGAAAGCCUGACGGAGCAAGACCGCGUGAGGGAGGAAGGCUCUUGGGUUGUAAACCUCUUUUCUCAGGGAAGAAGCUCUGACGGUACCUGAGGAAUCAGCCUCGGCUAACUCCAUGCCAGCAGCCGCGGUAAUACGGAGGAGGCAAGCGUUAUCCGGAAUUAUUGGGCGUAAAGCGUACGCAGGUGGCGAUUCAAGUCUGCUGUCAAAGCACGGGGCUUAACUCCGUUAAGGCAGUGGAAACUGAAUAGCUAGAGUGCCGUAGGGGUAGAGGGAAUUCCCGGUGUAGCGGUGAAAUGCGUACAGAUCGGGAAGAACAUCGGUGGCGAAAGCGCUCUACUGGACGGAAACUGACACUCAGGGACGAAAGCUAGGGGAGCGAAUGGGAUUAGAUACCGCAGUAUCCUAGCUUGUAACGAUGGAUACCAGGUGUAGCCUGUAUCGACCCGA